AUCGCUUUUUCGGCCUUUUGGCUAAGUAAAAAGUUUUGGUUAUCUGUUUUUUAUCAGUUAAUAUCUGAUACGAUCCCCCAGGUGGGUUUCGAUAUUAAACUGUUUUUUGGACAUGGCGAAGUGCUGGGGGCUUGCUCCCCCUUUUGGGCCGCGGAAUGGGCCCCGGUUUUAUUGCAGUACCCCCGGGAUUGGCCCACCCCCU